AACUUAAAUGAAUUGACGGGGCCGCACAAGCAGCGGAGCGUGUGGUUUAAUUCGAUGCAACACGAAGAACCUUACCAAGGCUUGACAUGCUUGAAGUAGUGAAACGAAAGUCUAACCAACUGUUAAAUCAGUAGCCUGCACAGGUGCUGCAUGGCUGUCGUCAGCUCGUGCCGUGAGGUGUUGGGUUAAGUCCCCCAACGAGCGUAACCCUUAUUGCCAGUUGUUUCUCUGGCGAGACUGCCCCGCAAAACGGGGAGGAAGGUGGGGAUGACGUCAAGUCACGCACCGGCCCUUAUGCCUUGGGCUACACACACGCUACAAUGGACGGUACAAUAGGUAGCAAUGGAGCGAUUCGGAGCUAAUCCAAAAAGCCGUUCUCAGUUCGGAUUGCAGGCUGAAACCCGCCUGCAUGAAGUCGGAGUUGCUAGUAACCGCAAGUCAGCAAAUUGCGGUGAAUACGUUCUCGGGCCUU
rnacentral:rRNA from 1 species